CAUGGUUGUCGUCAGCUCGUGUCGUGAGAUGUUGGGUUAAGUCCCGCAACGAGCGCAACCCUCGACCUUAGUUGCCAGCAUUCAGUUGGGCACUCUAAGGUGACUGCCGGCUAAAAGUCGGAGGAAGGUGGGGAUGACGUCAAAUCAUCAUGCCCUUAUGACCUGGGCUACACACGUGCUACAAUGGGCGGUACAAAGGGUCGCGAACCCGCGAGGGGGAGCCAAUCCCAAAAAGACCGCUCUCAGUUCGGAUUGCAGGCUGCAACUCGCCUGCAUGAAGCCGGAAUCGCUAGUAAUCGCGGAUCAGCAUGCCGCGGUGAAUACGUUCCCGGGCCUU
rnacentral:rRNA from 1 species